rnacentral:rRNA from 1 species
UUGAACGCUGGCGGCAUGCUUUACACCUGCAAGUCGAACGGUAACAGGCCGCAAGGUGCUGACGAGUGGCGACCGGGUGAGUAAUGCAUCGGAACGUGCCCAGUCGUGGGGGAUAACUACUCGAAAGAGUAGCUAAUACCGCAUACGAUCUAUGGAUGAAAGCGGGGGACCGUCAGGCCUCGCGCGAUUGGAGCGGCCGAUGUCAGAUUAGGUAGUUGGUGGGGUAAAGGCUCACCAAGCCAACGAUCUGUAGCUGGUCUGAGAGGACGACCAGCCACACUGGGACUGAGACACGGCCCAGACUCCUACGGGAGGCAGCAGUGGGGAAUUUUGGACAAUGGGCGCAAGCCUGAUCCAGCAAUGCCGCGUGCAGGAAGAAGGCCUUCGGGUUGUAAACUGCUUUUGUACGGAACGAAACGGCUCUGGUUAAUACCCGGGGCUAAUGACGGUACCGUAAGAAUAAGCACCGGCUAACUACGUG